rnacentral:rRNA from 1 species
CCUACGGGGGGCAGCAGUGGGGAAUUUUGGACAAUGGACGAAAGUCUGAUCCAGCAAUGCCGCGUGCAGGACGAAGGCCUUCGGGUUGUAAACUGCUUUUGUACGGAACGAAACGGUCUGCUUUAAUACAGCGGGCUAAUGACGGUACCGUAAGAAUAAGCACCGGCUAACUACGUGCCAGCAGCCGCGGUAAUACGUAGGGUGCGAGCGUUAAUCGGAAUUACUGGGCGUAAAGCGUGCGCAGGCGGUUAUAUAAGUCAGAUGUGAAAUCCCCGGGCUCAACCUGGGACCUGCAUUUGAGACUGUAUAGCUAGAGUACGGUAGAGGGGGAUGGAAUUCCGCGUGUAGCAGUGAAAUGCGUAGAUAUGCGGAGGAACACCGAUGGCGAAGGCAAUCCCCUGGACCUGUACUGACGCUCAUGCACGAAAGCGUGGGGAGCAAACAGGAUUAGAUACCCCAGUAGUC